UACGUAGGGGGCUAGCGUUGUCCGGAAUCAUUGGGCGUAAAGAGCGUGUAGGCGGUCCGGUAAGUCCGCUGUGAAAGUCGGGGGCUCAACCUCGAAUGCCGGUGGAUACUGUCGGGCUAGAGUGCGGAAGAGGCGAGUGGAAUUCCUGGUGUAGCGGUGAAAUGCGCAGAUAUCAGGAAGAACACCCGUGGCGAAGGCGGCUCUCUGGGACGGUACUGACGCUGAGACGCGAAAGCGUGGGGAGCGAACAGG
rnacentral:rRNA from 1 species